rnacentral:lncRNA from 1 species
AUUAUUAUUAUUAUUAUUUGAUCCACUUCUCUCUCACCCAUCCCUCCAACUACUACCAACAAAGCAAUUAAGCGAAGAUCCUACAAAUUUUAAUGGCCCCCUUCAACUCUCCCCUUUUUUUUUAUCCAUUUCUGCAGACACCACUUGAGAGAGCAGCAGUCUCUCUUCUUGUAUUUAUAUUAUUAUUAUAUACAUUAUAUGUGGGUUUUCCUCAUCACUUCAGUCAAAGCUCUUCUUCUUCUUCUUCUUCUUCUUCUUCUUCUACCCACUCUCACCUUAAUAAAACCCAUACUUCUUUGCUCUUUGAUACCACAUCAUCAUGUUCAAUAAGGGUUCAAAAGAGCCUUCAUUGUUAGGGACUAGGGUUUUGUUGAUGGGUUCUCUUCGUCUCCUCCUCCUCCUCCUCUUUUUCUUCAUACCCAACUCUUAUUCCUUCCCCUUAUGCACAGAUUCAUGUGGGUUUCUCCUCUUGUUCCCUUUUUCACUCUUGUACAUAUUACUCUCCUAGUAUUACGCUCAUGUGGGUUGUGUUCUUUUUUUUGUUUUUUGUUGUUGUUAAAACCCUUUUUGGUGAGCAGGGGCACCUGAGACACUGAAGGUGCCACUCACCUUCUGUUCUUACAAUGGCAGCAGCUGCUGCAACGCCACGGACGACGCCGCGAUCGAGAAGCGGUUCAAAUCGAUGAAAAUCUCCGAUACCGCUUGCUCCNAUAAAUUAAUUAAUUGUAUAUUUUUUGUAAUAUUAAAUAAUAUGGCUAAUUAAUAUUACCGUGCGAACCAAACACAGGAAUUCCACAUUCUUAGUAAUAGAAUGAAUAGGAAUAAAAUUUUCGGAUAUCUUUUAUUCCUCUUAAUUUUUUAUAAUGCGAACCAAACGCACCUGUAGGUGAAAUAGACAGAUAAAAAGAUAACUUUUUCAUAAUUUAGCUACCAUCCGUAGAUUGUUGACUUAUCGUUAAAGCGAAAGCACAGAAAUUGUGACAUUAAGAGAGACAAAAAUAUUGUUAGAAAUUGAUCUCAUUCAAUGAUUCUAGAGACUCUUUUGCAGCAAAUCAAAAGUGGUCUGACUUCAAAUAGCUGUACUGACAGGUCCCACAAAAGCAGCUAUGUAAAGUGUAAACACACACUUUCUCACCCUUAUCACAACUCCAAGUGCAAUGAACACAUGUUAUACAUCCAAAAAAGUCCCCCUCCCCUUUGUUUCUCUUUCCAACCAAGUCAAUGCCCUCUCCCACCAUCCAGCCUUUUUUGGUCCUCAAAACCCCACUCUAGUAUUAUUAUUAUUAUUAUUAUUAUUAUUAUUAUUAUUUGAUCCACUUCUCUCUCACCCAUCCCUCCAACUACUACCAAGUACCAACAAAGCAAUUAAGCAAAGAUCCUACAAAUUUUAAUGGCCCCCUUCAACUCUCCCCUUUUUUUUUCUAUCCAUUUCUGCAGACACCACUUGAGAGAGCAGCAGUCUCUCUUCUUGUAUUUAUAUUAUUAUUUUAUAUACAUUAUAUGUGAGUUUUCCUCAUCACUUCAGUCAAAGCUCUUCUUCUUCUUCUUCUUCUUCUUCUUCUACCCACUCUCACCUUAAUAAAACCCAUAUUUCUUUGCUCUUUGAUACCACAUCAUCAUGUUCAGUAAGGGCUCAAAAGAGCCUUCAUUGUUAGGGACUAGGGUUUUGUUGAUGGGUUCUCUUCUUUUCCUCCUCCUCCUCUUUUUCUUCAUACCAAACUCUUAUUCCUUCCCCUUAUGCACAGAUUCAUGUGGGUUUCUCCUCUUGUUCCCUUUUUUACUCUUGUACAUAUUACUCUCCUAGUAUUAUGCUCAUGUGGGUUGUGUUCUUUUUUUUGUUUUUUGUUGUUGUUAAAACCCUUUUUGGUGAGCAGGGGCAC